rnacentral:lncRNA from 10 species
AGAUGUUCUCAGUGUGAAGUGGUUAUGCUGGCUUCCUCCAAUUCCUCCUCUUCGUCGGUUGUGACUGACCGAGACAGCGGCUUGGGCUUCGGCAGAGACUUGAGACUGCGGGCACCCGCUGCCAUUAGGAUUGUUGAAUGAGCUGUGAGAAGGGAGUGGGGGAUAUGGGACUCUUAGAUUGAAAAAAUACUGGAGCCUCUUAGUUGUUCGUCUAGUUUCACCUUUUGAUUUUGUUGAUGAAAAAUAAUUAACCACAGAAGUAACUUGCCCAAAGUCAAACAGCGACUUAGUGAUGGAACUCGGACUAGAACCCGGUGUCAGUAUGAAAGAGGAUCAGCAAUGUCUGUAAGGACAUGAUUGUGAGAGAGAGAGUAGUGAAUACUAGGAAGGUGCCUCUUACAAAGUGGAGCCUAAGCCAGGACCUAAGCAAAGAUUGAGAGUUGAGGGCUCAGGCUCUGCAAUGAGUGUCAGUGAGGAGCUCCAGCAAAAGACUGAAAUCACUCAUGCUUUCCUUAAACCCCUAAGGAAAGGGAAGGAAAGUAGCCAGUUUCCAAUGAGCUGUCAUUUCAGGCACUCUCUUGGCAAUAAGAGUAAUGUUAGUUUGAAUUUAUUGAAUCUUGCUGUGCACUCAGCUGGCCCAUUGUAUGUAUACUCAUCUUAAUGAUUACAUAACUUCACAAUUCAAACAUCAGCUAAGUAAGGCCUUUCCUGGCUGCCCAUCUUACGGAACUGGAGGUCAUUAUUCUAAGUGAAAUAAGUCUGGCACAGAAAGACAAAUAUCCCAUGGUCUCACUCAUGUGGGAGCUUAAAAAGUUGAUCUCAUGGAGUAGAGAUAAGUACCAGAGGCUGGGAAGGUGGAGUUGGGGGAGGGAGGGAAGAGAUUGGUUAAUGGGUACAAACGUAGAUAGAAGGAAUAAGUUCAAGUGUUUGAUAGCACAGUAGGGUGACUAUAGUU